AGCAAACAGAGCCAUUCUCUUGAGUGAGACGCAAGGGCAAAGGCCAGCGGCCGUAUUUAAGAGGCCGGCUAUAGGCAGCCCUGGGACAGUGGCGCGGGCUGUGGAUAAGGGCCAGGGCGCGAGCAGAUAAAACCCAGCGGGACCCUCUGCCUUGGGGAGAGGAGUGGGGCUUGCAGUCUGGACACAGAGCCUGUGGCCCCAUUCCCUGAUUUCUUUAAAGUGAUGCUCUGCCCAAGCACAGUUCUGUAGACAGAACUGUGACCGUGAGUGAUUUGUGCUCUGACUGUGGCCAUGGAAAGGCACCCGAUGCAGGCGCUGGCCAAGCAGAAGACACUGAGGUCAUGUGCGGAACAUGUGUGGACAGAUGUCCACAGCCCCGGGCCCGAGCACUCUCUCGCGGCACACAACCCCUUCUGUAAGACAGCAACGAGAGAAAAGUGGCUGCUGUUCUUGCUGUGAACUCGUCCAUGAGUCCAGGUCAGAAGCCAAUUGAAAGGGCAAACCCUCCUGACCGUGCCGAAGACGGUUCUGCACUGGGGGAUAGCGGGGGAUGGCGGGAGGCCAGUGUGGAAGGCACCCCACUCCCCGCACGUGGAUGCCGCUCAGCCAUACCUGCCUGGACACAACGCCCCUCAGAAUGACACACUUCUGCUUCCAGCCCCUGUGUGCAUCUGUCUUGGUCACACAAAUUCUAUCUUUAUCAUCACUAAUCCAGACGGGUUGCUAUGCGGAUUUGUUUGUUUGGUUGAUACCUGGUUUCAGGCAGCCCAGGCUAGCCUCAAACUGGUUGAGGCUGACACUGAAUUCCUGAGCCUCUCUUUGUUGCUGUUUGUUUGUGGUUGUUUUGCUUUUGUUUUUUAGGGUUUUUGUUUGUUUUGCUUUUGUUUUUUAAGAUAGGAUCUCAUUGUACGGCCCCAGGCAGGCCUGGAACUAGCUACAUAGACCGAACUGGCCUUGAGGUUGACCCCUGAUCCUCUUGCCUCCAACUCCCAAGCACUAGAUAACAGGCCUGAGACAUCAUGCCAGGCUUUGCUUUUCCACAUCAUUUUAUGGUCUGCUUCAAUUUACUGAAGGAACAUAGCAUAUUGCAUUAGUCCAAUGAACGAUGCUUCACAUUUCCAGAGUAUGUUCCCGCCUCACCAGAUUCUUUCUUCACAUUCUUCCAUCCUCCCAUUAAUCUGGUGAUAGGCAGCGAGGAUACAACACUGGUCAGGUAUGGGUGGGGGGGUGUGCAUGCCUGUGAUCCCAGCAAUUGGGAAGUGGAGGCAGGAGGAUUAGGAGUUACAGCAGAGACCAGCCUGGGUUAUGUGAGACUCACCUCCAAAAAAAAAAAAAAAGAGCAAAAAACAAAACCAAAACAAAUGAAUCAUGACCGCAGUUUUGAGCAUCCAUCAGCAUUGAGAGCCUCGGGGUUUCAAUAUUAUCUCAGACUCCUAUGGCAGCUCUGAGAGAAUGUGGGUGGCUGGACUAGCUCACUGUUUGGUUAAUUAGACACAAGCUCAGUUUGUCUGGAAAGAGGGAAACUCAGUUGAGAAGAUGCCCCCAUCAGACUGCCCUACAGGCAAGCCUUUGGAGGAUUUUCUUGAUUAAGGAUGGCUGUGGGAGGGCCCAGCCCACUGUGGGUGGUGCCGUCCCUGGGCAGGUGGUCCUGGGUUCUAUAAGAAAGCAGGCCGAGCAAGCCAUGGGGAGCGCCAGUCAGCACUGUUCCUCUGAGCCAGCUCCUGCCUCCAGUAUCCUGCCUGACUUCCCUCAGCAAUGAUGUGACCAGAGAGUUGUAAACUGAAAUAAACUCUUUUCUCUACAAG